rnacentral:rRNA from 1 species
AGUGAACGCUGGCGGUAGGCCUAACACAUGCAAGUCGAACGGCAGCACAGUAAGAGCUCGCUCUUACGGGUGGCGAGUGGCGGACGGGUGAGGAAUACAUCGGAAUCUACUUUUUCGUGGGUGAUAACGUAGGGAAACUUACGCUAAUACCGCAUACGACCUACGGGUGAAAGCAGGGGAUCUUCGGACCUUUCGCGAUUGUAUGAGCCGAUGUCGGAUUAGCUAGUUGGCGAGGUAAAGGCCCACCAAGGCGACGAUCCGUAGCUGGUCUGAGAGGAUGAUCAGCCACACUGGAACUGAGACACGGUCCAGACUCCUACGGGAGGCAGCAGUGGGGAAUAUUGGGCAAUGGGCGCAAGCCUGAUCCAGCAAUACCGCGUGGGUGAAGAAGGCCUUCGGGUUGUAAAGCCCUUUUGUUGGGAAAGAAAAGCAGCAGGUUAAUACCCCGCUGUUCUGACGGUACCCAAAGAAUAAGCACCGGCUAACUUCGUG